AUCGCUUCUCCGCCUUUUGGCUAAGAUCAAGUGUAGUAUCUGUUCUAAUCCGUUUAAUAUCUGAUACACCCCCUAUCUGGGGGCCAUAUAUUAAAUUGAUUUUUAGAACAGGAAGAUUGAUUGCUCCGUCCACUCCACACAUAGACCCUGUAUUGUAGUACCUCAGGGACCAUGGGUCAGCU